AGCUUUAUUCAGUGGCGGUACGUAGCCCAUGAGUUUUAUCCGAGGCGUAAUUAUUGCUAAUUGAAAACUUUAUACAAUACCCUGCCUUGAUGACUUGAAAUAUAGUCAGCUAUGGCAAUUAUUGAUAGUCUCCAUUGAAC